GGAAAAUGAGAUUAAGUGCUGCUCAUUCCCAGACCCCAUCGUAUGUGCUGCGCUUCAAAGCAGGUGGAAGAUGAUAAAUCACACAAGCAUGGAUACUUAGGAAAAGUGGAAUGAGUUGUGAUCUAGAAGACCAGCUCUGCCACUGACCAGAGAAAAGAAGGACCAAGCAACAAAAAGAAAGUUGUUUACAAAGGAAGCCUGGAACACCACUUUUGAAUCUCCUCAAAGCUAAUGGG